AGCGAACGCUGGCGGCAGGCCUAACACAUGCAAGUCGAGCGGCCGUAGCAAUACGGCAGCGGCAGACGGGAGAGUAACACGUGGGAACGCGCCCUUCGGUUCGGGAUAACUCAGGGAAACUUGAGCUAAUACCGGAUACGCCCUUACGGGGAAAGAUUUAUUGCCGAAGGAACGGCCCACGUCCGAUUAGCUUGUUGGUGAGGUAACGGCUCACCAAGGCGACGAUCGGUAGCUGGUCUGAGAGGAUGACCAGCCUCACUGGGACUGAGACACGGCCCAGACUCCUACGGGAGGCAACAGUGGCGAAUAUUGGACAGUGGGCGCAAGCCAGAUCCAGCCAUGCCGCGUGGCAGAUGAAGGCCCUGGGGUUGUAAAGCCCUUUCAGCGGGGGAGGUAAUGACGGUACCCGCAGAAGAAGCCCCGGCUAACUUCGUGCCAGCAGCCGCCGUAACAC
rnacentral:rRNA from 1 species